GCCCCCGUAGCUCAGUGGACAGAGCGAGGCCGUCCUAAGGCCUGCGUCGGCGGUUCGAGUCCGUCCGGGGGCGCCA
rnacentral:tRNA from 4 species